rnacentral:rRNA from 1 species
UACGAAGGGGGCUAGCGUUGCUCGGAAUUACUGGGCGUAAAGGGCGCGUAGGCGGGUCGUUAAGUUGGGGGUGAAAGCCCAGGGCUCAACCCUGGAAUUGCCUUCAAUACUGGCGACCUUGAGUAUGGCAGAGGUGUGUGGAACUCCGAGUGUAGAGGUGAAAUUCGUAGAUAUUCGGAAGAACACCAGUGGCGAAGGCGACACACUGGGCCAUUACUGACGCUGAGGCACGAAAGCGUGGGGAGCAAACAGGG